AAGUUGAGCGACAGGGAGGGCAGCGUCCUCAUGGCGGGCGGCGCGGCAGGGUGGAUUCCGAGACCCUGCCCAUGAGCCUUCAUCUACUAUUGGACCCUCCGGAACUCAGAGGCAUGGCAUCUGGGACAUGGUGGAAAGUCCUCAAAGGCACCCGAUCAUUUUGUGAACCUACUACACUUCGUGCCAGCCAGAGCGUACAAAUGAUUUCCACCCAUGAGGAGCUCACAGAAAGGCAGGAUCUGGCCUCAAGACGAGAAUUCCUCUCUGUUUUUGAUGAGUAUUGCAAGCGUGAGCACCCCUUGUUGGCCUCAUCGGGCUUCCAGUAACCAGGCUAUUGGCAAACAUCAAAUCCACCCUUGGAAUGAAGACUGGCCACUUGAUUCAAGCUGUUCAUGGCACUGUACAGCUGCUCUGACGGUGCCUGUUGGGAGGGACAGCCAGAUCCUGCUCCGUGUCCUCAGCAUCCCCAGCAGAGCGGCUGAGUCAGAGGAGUGAGGAGCAGAUAACAUUUGGUGUUUGCUGAACCAACUGGAACAAGCCCCUUAAAGCCGUUUCUGAAGGGGAAAUUCCAGAAAGGUCUUGCGCUGUGGCAGCGCUGAAGGAUGAGUGGGGCCUCCUCAGGCCUCGGAUCUGGGGGAACCAGCAGUCACUCGCACAUCAAAGAUCUGGUGUGUUUGCUCUCCAUCCCACAAGCUCCGUUUGUAUUUCCCCCAUGUAAGUAAGGCAGGAUCUUGGUUUUUCCCAGAACCUGGCUUGGCUUGUUUUGGGGCGUGUGAUUGUGAUCCAGCUGGUUCAGAGCUGCGUGAGGGAAGGUGAAGCCAAGAGCAGACAAGACUGGGCUGGUUGGCAACUUUCCGCUGUGUCAGGGGCCCCAGAGAGAAGUUUCCCAAGCCCUACCCUCUCUCGACUUUCGUUAUUUUUUUUUUAAUUCCAUGGAUGUUUGUGUUUUUAUUGAGGUAUAAUUUAUAUACAGUAAAAUUCACCUUUCUUUAGUGUACAGUUCUGAAUGCAGUUGUGUAACCACCACCACAGUCAAGAUAUAGAACAUUUCCAUCAUCCUUUUCCCAGUCCCUGGCAACCACUGAUCCACUUUCUGAGUCAAUACUUUUGCCUUUUCCAGAAGGUCCUAUAAAAUGAAAGCACACAGUAAAUAGCCUUUUGCGCCUGGCUUCUCUCACUAACAUAAUGCAUUUGAGGUCCAUCUGCAUUGUUUCUUGUAUCAGUAGCUCAUUCCUUUUUAAUGGCUGAAUAGUAUUCCAUCAUAUGGCUGGAUCACAGUUUGUUCAUCCAUUCCCCCAUUGAAGGUUUUCCGGGAUGUUGGUAAUUACAAAUAAAGCCUCCGUAAACAUUUGCUCUCGGGUUUUCAUGCGAGCGCAGGUUUGAUCUCACGUGGGUAUUCCACCAGUGGUGGGAUUGCUGGCUCGUCUGGCUGCGGUGCUUU